AGAGGGAGGAGUUAAGGAGACAGACAGAGAGAGAGAGAGAUCUGAGGAGAAGAGGGAGAACCAAAAUGGAGGCUGACGUGGUGUUAUCAAAGUGGAGUGACCAGGGCUGACAGGUAUUCUGACAUCUGCUCCCUGAGAGGUGACGUGGGAAGUCCUGCACUGUGAGUCCAUUGAGUAGGACACACCCAGGCCUCUUCUUUUCUCCAGGAUAUGUGCAAGAUGAGAGCCAGCCAUCGUCUCCUGAUAGUGGAGAUUUGAUCUGAAGCAUUCAAAUAGGAAAUGAAUGCUCAGAGGAAGCUUCAAAUUUCUUUCUACUUGAAGAAGCUGAAUUGCAGAAGCUAUCUCUGUCCUGUUAAUCACCGGGUCCACAGUGAAACCAGCCAACUUCAGAGAGUGAGUUAAAAGAGAGACUCUUGUGCUGCGUGACCCCUGACUGUAACCAAGUGUCCUUCUCUCUGAGACGUUCCCUCGGAGCUUGUUCUCACAGCCCUCACCUCCAGUGACCUCCACGAACUUUUCCACACGAGGGGUUCUCUGCUUCCCUCCAUCUGAGCUGCGCAAUUCCACCAGGCCUUUUGCUCCUCUUCAGUCAGGUGCUUUGGAGGUAAUGAAGUCUUUCGGGGGAAAAAUAAACAAAGGAAAUGCACCCGGUUGAUGUCAAUGGACUUGUUUAACUAUUUAAGGCCACUGUCUCCAAGUGUAAGUGUGCUGCGGUGUGUUUUGUAAAGUAGCGCUUAUAAUCCACUGAGCUUUCCAAACAGCCCUCUUGCCUAUUAAGCCUGCAUUGAGAAGUGGGUUUAAUUUGCCAGAGUAGUUUUUUGUGAUAAUUACAGGACUUGCAGAUUAGCUUGAGUGACUUGGCAAGGUUCUGUAGCUAAUAAAAAAUCACACAGGAAAAAAAUUGUAACAUUCAAUUGCUUCAAGGUUCUUCACGAGAGAAACAUUAAACAAACCUGAUAGGCCAGUUUCCAGUCUGUGAAGUAGCAGAGAUAAAAUAGAGAUUUUAAAAGAUGUUUACUCGGGAGUAACAGAGGGGAUUGUUUGCUAGCUGCGGGAAGGAUUAGAACUGCCCAGCCUUUGGGCUAGUAAAGGUGUAUUAAAAGUAACUGGUGUGUGUGGGGAGGGUGGGGUGAAGCGAGCACAUGUGACCAUCCGGGAGCAACGUGGUUAGCCAAAGUACCGCUACACAUGCCUGUUUGUGGUCCUAGAAUUUGGAAAGGGGGAGGGAGCUUGAAAAGUUAGAUAUCAAUGCUCUCUCUCUCUCUCUCUCUCUCUCUCUCUCUCUCUCUCUGUGUGUGUGUGUGUGUGUGUGUGUGUAUAGAACCCGUUUUUAAUCCCAGCACUCAAGAGGCAGAAGCAGAGGGAGGUGGUCUCUGAAUUUGAGGCCAGCCUGGUUUACACAAUAUAUUCCAGGUCAGCCAGAGCUACAAAAAUCAUCUUGAAAACCCUAAAGAGGUCUGGUGAGAUGGCUUAGUGGUUGGGAGCACUGACUGCUCUUCCAGGGGUCCUGAGUUCAAUUCCCACCAACCACAUGGUGGCUUACUGUAAUGGGAUCCAGUGCCCUCUUCUGGGGUGUCUGAAGACGGCAACUGUGUACUCACAUGCAUACAAAUACAUAAAUAAAUAAAUUGUUUAAAAAGUUGACUAUAUAUAAAAAAAGGGGGGGGGAGAAAUCCUAAGGAAAAAAGAAAAAAGAAAAGAAAAAUUUGAGGUCAGUUUGAAAACCCUCUUAAAGAAGAUUAGGGGAAAAAAAGUAAACAAAGGCUGGGGGUGUAGUUUGGUUGGUACAGUGCUGGCCAGCAGCCAGAAUGUCCUGGAUUCAGCUAAUCUUUUGGUUGCCAAAACCAGGCAUGGUGAAAGAGCUCUAGCCAGCAGCCAUGGGUGUGGGAGGAUCAGAAGUUCAAGGUCAUUCGCAGACUUCGUGGAGAGUUUGAGGCUACUCUGGGCUUUAAGAGACCCUGACCCUGUCUCAAAAUAAACAAAAGAGAAAUAUCAAAAAAUAAAAUAUUUCAGAGAAAUAACUAAGUUUCUUAUAAAAAUUAAUUCAUACAUCUUAUGCAUAUGAAUAUUUUGUAUGUACGUCUAUUUGUCACAUUCUUGCUUGGUGCCCCAGAAGGCCAGAAGAGUUCAUCAGAUCCUCGGGAUCUGGAGUUACAGAUGGUUAUGAGCCACCAUGUGGGUGCUUGGAAUUGAACUUGGGCCCUAUGGAAGAACAGCCAGUACACUUAAUCACUGAGCCAUCUCCCCAGACCCCUAAAUAUCUUAUUGCACAAACUCUCAUUAAGUCUUUAAGCAUGACCAUGCUACAAGUUUUGCCUUCCACAGAUAGUUACUGUUUUACUCUGAUUAUCUACUGCAAUCUGCUCUGAGCAAUACUCCACACACACACACACACACACACAAAAAUAAUAAUAAAUAAAAUAACUGUCAGUGAGCUGGCAAGGCGGUAUAUGUCUGCAUCGUCAGGACUCAGGAAGCAGUGGCAGGUACAUGGCGAGUUUGGAGCUAGCUUGGACUAUACACAGAGUUCUAGGCCAGCCUACGCUAUAGCUCUAGAAUGAACUCCUGCUUUCAAAAGCAGGGAAUGUUUCAGAGACUCAAGGAAAGGAACUUGGCAGGCAGGCACCCAGGGUUCACAGUGUGGUGGCUGUGAGCCUGGCCCCUACAGUUAGGACUUCCAACUACAGCAAGAAGCUCAUUCAUCUUAUAAAGCUGCUGCCUUGAGGUCAAGCGGAGCAAGCACAGGCUAACUGCCUUGCAGUGGGCAACUGAUGAAGGGGGAUUAUUGCCUUUAGUUUGGGUAUUUUUUAAUUCUUUGAUGUUUUGUAGCGGAGGUGGGGGAGGGAGUUAUAAGGAACUUUUUUUUUUAAUCCUAAGCUAUCUAUAACUCAUGGCAAUGAUUAUACCUUUGUAAACAGAAAUGAAACACAUUUUUCUCUUUGCUUGAUCCUUUCCAAAUUCAGAAAUUCUGAUUGAAUAUUCCUAUUUCCAUGGUAAUCUUAUUAUUUGCAACACAUUCAGUGAGAACGCGUCCCCUUUGUGACAGAGUAUAACAGGAAAGUGGUAGAAACAUCAGAUAUGACCACACGGUUAUAAUAACUUACUGCAGAACUGGGCGAGGUGACCUUAGGUUAGGGUCGCCUCCCCUAAUGCACCUCCCUGACAAAGCACCCAACAGGGAUCAGACAGGUUAAGGGAGUUUGAAAGUGUAUUCAGGAGAAGGGCAGUGUAUCUUUUGUGCCACCUAGGAAAAGAAGCAUUCAAGAGAAAGAACUAGUCCCAAGCCUUGUUCUGGUAUGGCUUCCUAGUGUCAAGGGGCUUUGUGUGUAGUAUCUGUGUGUGUUAUUCACACAAAGGCCAGAAGACUACAUACAGAAAUCAACUCUCUCUUUCUACUGAACUCAGGUCAUCAAGCUUGGUGGCAGACAUCUUCAAUCACUGAGCCAAGUCUGGUCCCAUAGUAUUUUUUACGAACGAGCCUGAAAUUCACAGAUCCGACUGUGUUGGCUGGCCAGGCAUGUCCAUGGAUCCCCCUGUGUCUGCCCUGACAGAACUGGGCUUACAAGCUACCUUGCCCAACUUUUACGUGGAUGCUGGGGAUUUCAGUUUAGGGUCUCACAUUUGCAUAGCAAGAACUUUACCUCACUGAGCCGUUUCCCUGACUUCCUAGGAAGCAUUUAAAAAAUAUAGUCUGAAUCCAUAUGGAAAAUACCAGCCAAGAAAACUCUAAAUACCAAUGUGGCUCUGUACCAUUUGUGUUUUAUUGAUGUAGUGACCAGGACAACUCUAAUUAGACCAGAAUUAUUUUGCAAACAGUAUCAGAGUAGAGUAACCACACAUGUGUCACAGGAAAUUGUCCCUGGGCUGCACUGGGUCUUCCUGCUUUGAAGGGGGUAGUGGGGAAAAGGUGGACAGAGGUUCUCUCUCUGGAAUGAACUUUAUAGUCAGGCUUCCUGUCAAGUUCUCUUCUUUAGCAGGCUGUCCCCAGGUUCCUAACCUGCACUCAUUGUUCUAAGAAUUAAGUUGAGUCAUUCAGAGGCAAUCUGACUAUCUAAUUAAAUUCCUCCUUCUGUCCUUUUGGCACCUGAUAACUAUAGCCCAUCUUCUACAAGAAUCCUACUGAGUCAGUUUAACUAGGAGCCCUUGAUGUAAUUUUCCAUUCUCUGGCCUUUCUGUUCACAGAAGCACUCACUCUUUGGUUAUGAAUCCUGCCCUUGUUGUGUUUGGAGGAGAGCCCAGUCUUCUCCCCACUUGUAAUAAUCUUGACACCUUUCACAGUGGUUCUGAACAAAGUCUUUUAUACACUUAGCAUGUGUCAAUAUUUUCUUUAGCAGGACUUUGGGUCCCUAACCUGCAACUCAGCACUCAGUCCAUCAUGGGCUUUGCUAGUCUCUGUGACUUCUCCAGGGCAGGAAAGUGACAGGUUUCUGCGCAAGGGAGCCCGAGGUACCUGGUUCAGGAUGGAGAGGGCACUUGAGAGGCGUCAAAAGCAAGCACAGUUAGAGGACAUCAGCGAUGUUAAAACCCCACGAGGGUCAACAGUAGCCCAGGCAAAAUAAAGGAGCCUGAAGUGGAAAAACAGAAAUGGAACAAGACGUUUGUUCUGGAGCACGUGAGAUUGUCCUUCUAAGACAUUUCCAGAAGUAUUCAAAGGAAGAUUUAAUGGGAAAUCAUUAUGCAAAAGAGUCAGUAAUAUAUUUUAGUUUCAAAAAGUACGGAGCGUGACGCCUGUCAAUUAUACCUUCUGCAAAGGUGAGUGGCGGUUGUCCUUGCUGUUCCAAAAUGCAAAGAGAAACAAACAAACAAACAAACAAGCAAACCAGCUACUCCUAUUCCGCACUCCAAACACCAAGCAGAAAUGCUUCUGGGACAAACUGAGCUUCAUUCUUUAUGAAAAUGAAAACACUUCUUUCUGUGCACUAGGAAAAUGUUCUGCCUCUGAGCUGCAAAACCAGCACCAAACUUGAAAAGUUUGUGCAUCAAAGGAAAAAGGCAACCUACAGGAUGGGGGAGAAUAUUUGCAGGACACAUGUCCUGGAAGGAAUACAUAUUUAGACUGAAUAAAAUGAGUAAGAGGAGGGAUAGGGAGUUCGUGUUCAAUGUUGAGAGCUUGGGACAGUUGAGAAAACGCUCCGGAGUGUUCUGCAGAUGAAUGAUGGUGACGACUGCAUCAGUGUGAAUGUCCUUAACGCCGUCAAAAAUUGGUUAUAAUGGCAAAUUUUAUGCUACAUAUGUUUUACUACAAUAAAAAUGCCAGGAAAAUCUAACUGCUCCAAAUCCUGAAUUUAUUAACCCAAUAAAUUAGGAGAUGGUUAUUGACCUAUAAAUGGAUUUGUCAAUUUUUAAAAUGAUUUCCUUUAAAUUGAAUUCUUUCCUAGAGCUUUAUUGUCUCUUCACAAACCAUUAAACACUUGUUAAAGUGUUCAGAGAGGGCUGAGAUGGAGGAGGAAGUGAAAACCAAACAAACAGAUGAGGGACCUUCCCCAAAUGAUGUCUGCUAACAGGCUUCUUGGGUAUUCUAUUUAUAUAGAUUUUACAAGUGUUUUAUUUGAGAGGAAAAAUCCCUAGACCUUACAUAGUACAAUGAACUUCUUAUGCCUGUCAGCUAGAUUUAUUAAUUUUUAACGAGGUGUAUUACUUUUAAAAGCUAUCUAUUUACUAUUGGGGGAGGGAGAAGGACAAAGGACAUCUUGCAGAAGUCUGGUCUCUCCUGCUAUGUGGGUUCUGGAGAUAGGAAAUCAGGCAGGUUGUCAGGCCUAGAAGCAAAGGCCUGUCUGCACUGAGCCAUCUUACUUGUCUUAUUUUGUUACUUUUGAUGACCUAUUUUAGACAUCACUAUUCUAUAGCCCUAAGUAUAACUUCAAGUAUGUAUCUUCCACAAUGACUUUAUGACCAUGAAAUCAAUUCAAGAAAUUUAACAUGUAUGCAGUUCUAUCCAGCGUACAUACAGAUUUCUCAUCCCCCCUUUUACUGUAGUUUAUAGAAAAAGCAAUUCUCUUCCAUAUCUAGAGUUUGACAAGGAAUAUGCAUUGCAUUUGGUUUCUGUGUUCUUUAAUCUCUUGUUGUACAGAACUUCAACCUUUCAUGACAGGUUGAACAAUUUUGGAUCAUACAGGCUGUCAUGGUUUGAAUAUGUUUGGCCCAGGGAGUGGUACUGUUAGGGGUGUGGUCUUCUUGGAAUAGGUGUGUCACCGUGGGCGUGGGCUUUAAGACCCUCAUCCUUAGCUUCUGGAAGUCAGUCUUCCACUAGCAACCUUCAGAUGAAGAUGUAGAACUCUCACCAUCUCCUGCACUAUACCUGCCUGGAUAUCGCCAUGUUCCUGCCUUGAUGAUUAUGGACUGAACCUCUGAACCUGUAAGCCAGCCCCAAUUAAAUUUGUCCUUAUAAGAGUUACCUUGGUCAUGGUGUCUGUUCACAGCAGUAAAACCCUAACUAAGACACAGGCCAAUUACAGAAUGUCUCUUUUUGGUGUGUGCAGUGUUAAAGUUUGAAGCACAAGCCUAAUGCUUGUUAGACAAGCACUCUACCGCUGCUCUACAUCAGCAGCUCAGUGUGCCUCUUGUCUUGAUGGGCUCAUUGUUUUUUAUGACCCAGUGCAUUGGGGUGAGCAGCUCACACAGGUACGAAGGGGUCCCUCUCAGAGCUUAACAUCAGGGAACUCAAUGUUGGUUUGUCUGUUCUAUUUCAGCUGAGCUAGUAUCUGGCAGUUCCCCACAACCCCCAUCAAGUUACCACUUUUUUCUUUGUAAUUGUAAUUUGCAAAGAAAUAUUUGCAAGAUUAAGUAAUAGACUACACAACGUGUUUUAGCUUCCACUGAGCAUUCAGCCUGAACUGUUUUAUAAAGUUAUGAAAUGAUAGAUUUCCAACUUAAUAAUUAUUUUAAAGACUUAUUUUAUUUUUAGUUCUGCAUGUAUGCCUGUGUGUGCACGUGUGUACCUAUGUAUCUGUAUGGUUAUGUGCACAUGAAUGCAGAUGUCCAAGGAGAAGAGGCCAGACACAUUGGAUCCCUGGUGCUCAAGUGGGAGGUGGCUGUCAGCUGCUGUAGGAAGGUGAUGGGAACUCAGCUUGAGUCCUUUGCAAGAACAGCAUGAGCUCUUAAACACAGAGCCACAUCUUCAGUCCCUCUCUUAUUUUUUUAAAAAUUAUUCUCUCUCUGUGUAUGUGUGUGUAUACAGAGGUCAGAGGAUCAUUUUUGUAAAAUUAGUUCUCUCUACCUUUUUUUGUGGGCUCUGGGGACUAAACUCAAGUUGUUGGGAUUUUGUGACAAGUGCUGUAUCCACUGAGCCCUCUCACAUGCCCUUAAAUGUUAUUUUAAAUAAUAGCAAAUGAGUACGUUCAAGCAUACGAGAAUAAGCAUGUCCUAUUGAUUUGAAUAUGCAAAAGUAUGCCAAUUUUUUAAAUCUCUAUUACCAAGUGGACAAGUAUUCCAUUUUAUCUCCAAAAGUAAAGAUUUCUUUUAGAUACAGUCAUGUGGAUUAUACAACUUGACUGAAGCCAUGUCUCCAAGAUACAUACCUAGAGGGUAAAGGGAAUGCUUUAAAGGAGCGUGAUUAUGAAUAUCCAAGCUGAAAAUAAACACUAAUUACUAACAAAAAGGAUUACUGAGAAAAAUAUGGGUUGGUUUUCAGUACUUGACUCUGUAAAGUUAUUUCUUUUCUUAUUUAGUUUUUAUUCAUAAUCAUAAACUUAACUUUGCCAUCCAGCUAGACUUGAAGGGGAAUGAGGAAAAUAUGGAACCCAAAGAACUUGAGCAGAGAUUACAGGGUAUUUCAAGCAGAUGGGGUAGGGAUGCUCUCCUGCGCUACAGAAGGAAUGGUUGGAUGGGUAAAAUGCCUGCAAGUCAAAAGAAAUUAGAGUUAUCCACAGUCGGAAAUGGUCUUGCUGGUCUUUCCAUUCCUGGACCCAAAACACUCCAUGGCUUCCACAAUGUUCAUGCCUUCUUUCACCUUCCCAGACACCACAUGCUUGCCAUCCAGCCACUUAGUCUUGGCAGUGCAGAUAAAAAACUGGGAACCGUUUGUGUUGGUCCAGUAUUUGCCAUGGACAAGAUGCCAGGACCUGUAUGCUUCAGGAUGAAGAUCUCAUCCUCAAAUUUCUCUCCAUAGAUGGAUCUGCCGCCAGUGCCAUUAUGGCAUGUAAAGUCACCACCCUGGCACAUGAAUCCUGGAAUAAUUCUGUGAAAGGAGGAACCCUUCUAGUAAAAUCCUUUCUCUCCAGUGCUCAGAGCAUGAAAGUUUCCCGCUGUCUUUGGAACUUUGUCUGCAAACAGCUGGAAGGAGACUCUUCAAGGGCUCGUCAUCGGCCGUGAUGUCAGAGAACACGGUGGGGUCGACUGUGGCUACAGCAAGAGGACCAACGGUACUGUUGCUCUAGCUACAGGAAUAAUCCUGGGCAGCACUUGUUGACCUUGGUCACUGUCAAGGGAAGAUCGGCUGUUCCCACUGAGGGCAUCUUGAUGGAUUAAGGUGAUCAGCUGAUCAAUGUGAGGGGACAGAUGGGAGCUAGGAACUGUCUCGGUACUGAGUCAUUUUUCAUCUAAUGUGCAAGAAACCCAAAGAGCACAUCAAACAGCGAACUACGCCUAAGCUAUCCAUGUUUCUCCUGCUUCUUCUGAGAGGGUGAUUUACACGUAGCUCAACACUCGAGUGUUGCAGUAUCGAGUGACUGCAACCAAACAAUGGAACAUGCAUCGUGCCUGUUGACAGAGCCUGCAGUUGGCUUGGAACCGGGACCAUGCUGCAUUCGACAUCGUUCCUGGUGGCUGACUUGUUCCCAUAGAAUUAAAUGCUAGGCAUCCAGAAGCUGACUGUGCAUCUGAUGGGCUCACUAACAUUCAGGAACAGGUUGGCCUCAGACUUCAUCAAUGGAAAGAGCCACCUAGAACAUGGAUGCAAGCUGGAACUUUGACGUUGUCUUGGGGAUAAAAGUUAAACAAAGAAGUGGAUUCUUCAGUCCUGACGCGUAAGUCACUGAGAGGAUGAGCUCGUUCCCUCUCCUGAAAGACAUCUUCCUGUUACAGCAGCCAGCUUUGCCAGCUCCCUGAACGUUCUGCUGCCUCCUUGCCCAGAACAACACUAUCUGUGACCGUCAAGUUAAAAAGGCCAUCUGUCUAGCACCAUGACCUUCAGCUAGGCCAUCAUUGCUUGGGAAUGCUCCCUUCACAUCGUGCUCUCUUCUUUUUUUUUUUUUUAAAUUAGAAUUAACUUUAUUGUACAUCACAAGACAAAUAAGCAAUAAAAACAUGUUAUAUAGAUGAAAUAGAAUACAAUUCCAUGUUAAUGAAAAACAAAACAUUUUGACCAUAUUCAUCUUGUGUAAGAAUCUCAUGUUCUCUUUUUACUCCUGCUUCUCUCCCUCCUACUCCUAAUCUGCCUUGCUUCUCCAUUCAUUUCUUUCAAUCUACUGAGCUUCAUUACUGUUGCUUAUAGGAACAUGGCAGAAUGUUGUUAACAAGAGUGUGGUUGUUGAGUCAGUAGCUAAGCCACUGAAGAAAAAGGCUUCUUCCUUCCCCAUCAACCAUGGUCUAUAAAUCCUCGGGGACGGAAGGGGUGUCCUGCCUGGUCACGUGUUUCCACAGGCAGCAAAAUUUUCGUAUUCCUGUCUGGCUGGGCUUAAGUUUUUUUGGCAAGAGUCUCCCUUCCCCUUGUAACAUCUUGGAAAGCUUGUAACUGAGCACAAAGAUGUUUAUUUUGAGAAGCAAAAGGGACUAAAUAUGUUCAAAAACAAUCUCUACCUCUCCUGCAGGAAGAGCCUUACUUUUCUCUUGUGGAUACAUUUCCAUGGCUUCUCCUGUCAAAAGGCAAAGGGCACAGGCGAGGCUAUCAGGGAUGGCUCUGGAGAACUGGAACUCUCUCUCUGACACCGGAUCCUCAAGGGGUAUUAGGAAGUACUGAGCGGGGCGGAUUUAGAAAGAGACAGAAAGGGUGGGUCUAGGAGGAACAAAGUCAGACUGUUAGGAAGGACAAUGUCGACAUAAUAGACAGCUGCCCUCUGGCUAUUUCAUGUCCAUUGUAUGAUUGGUUAUUUCAUGUCCAUGCACAGAACACCAUUGGUAGACCUUUACUGACAUCGAUAAAUGUUGCUUGAUCAGCACCUGAGAAUCAUAACACACCUUAAUACACUUCUCACCAACUGGACAGCUAAGGAAAGUUAGACUUAGGAUUUCAGCCAUGCGUCCAGUCUUUUGAUUUUUAGGAUCAUCACAUCUUGAAAUAGUUAUUCUGAAAGUAACAUUUCUUGUUUUUAGAAUUUUCUCCUCUUUCUAUUCUGUAUUUAAAAAACAAAAAAACUAUCAAGCUACCUUACUAGUACAGAUGAACCUCACAAAGCCAAGCUCCUCUUACUAAAGCCAUCAGAGGUAAGAGUAUCUUUGCUGAAUGUUUGGCACAAGGGCUCAGAUCUCAGACUUGCCCAGAAUUCUUUUAUAGGACUUCGGUAGCAUAGGUGAGGGUUUUCAGAGAGGAUGGGGAGAGCCCCCAGGAGUUUGGCCACAAGUAAAAGGACACAUGUUUAGAUCCAGAUGAAAUCUUAAUUUCUUCUGAGUAGAAAUUGCCAGAGUGCAUGACGAGGUCCUUGCCAUUACUGUCUGCCUCAGCUGUAGGCAGAGUCCUUUAUGAGCUGUUAAUUGGCCAGAGUCAUACCGCUAACACCAACAGAUGGUAUAAAGUUAUAAAUCAGCCCUCAUCUGGGGAGAGAAAAGAUUGAUGUGACUGGCAUCACCACUAUCUUUAUUCUUCUAGAACAAAUUCAGGUGGAGAGGCCAAGUGGGAGCAUGUGCCUCUGGACCCCUCAACACCCGGAAGCUCUUACCUAUGCAGCAGUGCUAUUUCCUGGGUCUCUGUCUCUGCCUCUUAAGUGCUCACCAAAUGCCUAGGUGUUUCUCCCAAGUUCCAGGAUUUAUAAGUAGUUGCUCAGACAUUCGUAACCAUGAUUGUCUUUCUCUACAGGAACCUUACUCUUCCUUUUCAGGUCCCCAAGACAUACCCUUUCCUCCAUAACUAGCAUACAGCUUCUCGCCCUUCUCUUGAGAGAGCAAUGGGCAUUGGGUUUUUGUAUUUUCCUCUCUACUCCUGAUGAAAGGUACCGAAGCCAGGUAGCAAAUUAUUGUGACACAGUAUUUUGCUUUCUGACUAGAGUUGUCCAUGCUUCCUGAGAGCUGUCCUCUCAAAUGGGCUGCCAAUUUCAGCUCAUAUUCCAAGAAAAUCUGAGAACCCAGAAUCAAACCAAAAAGAGUCAGAAAAUACCGGUUACUGCUCUAGACCUGAAAGGCAGACAACAUGGAGGUCUUUCAAAACCAACAGCAGCCACAAAGCUAAUCAAGGCUCCAGGUUGAACUGUCACACUCAAGGCGACGAAAAGUCACCAAAGCCAUCAGGACUCUGAUCUCAGGUUCCUCUCCCAGGCAUUGGAUUCACAGCCCUGAGGAUUUUUCCUUCCAUUGGUUAGAGGCAGACAUGUUUGUGGUGUGGCUACACCGAUGUUCCCAUUUUAUAGGCAAAGCCAUCAUUCCUGACUCCGGAUAUAUAUUGAUUUUUUUUCUUUAUAAUGGCGGAAAGUAGGUUGGGCUUUCCCAACUUCAAGACUCACCUUUACACUGGAAAUCCAAAGACACUGACUUGCAUGAUCGAAUGUGUUGGGAAUGUUUUGGUGCUGGCUUCUUUGUUUGCUCAAAUCAUAAAGCUGACAGUUUCCCUGACCUGUGACCAUUGUGAACCUUCACAGCUCCCAGACUGUACUGACAGCUUUUGUUGUCUGAGCAGCCGGAAUUGUUGGUGUCCAGGAACCUUAUUCCUGCGACACUGUAUAGUAAGUUGGGGAUUUUAUUUGGUACAUGAAAGGAAAAAAAACUCGAUUUGUGAGUCAAGCAUUAAAAAGUAUGUUCACGAAA
rnacentral:lncRNA from 1 species